AACGCUAGCUACAGGCUUAACACAUGCAAGUCGAGGGGCAGCAUUUCAGUUUGCCUGCUAACUGGAGAUGGCGACCGGCGCACGGGUGAGUAACACGUAUCCAACCUGCCGAUGACUCGGGGAUAGCCUUUCGAAAGAAAGAUUAAUACCCGAUGGUAUAAUUAGACCGCAUGGUCUAAUUAUUAAAGAAUUUCGGUUAUCGAUGGGGAUGCGUUCCAUUAGGCAGUUGGUGAGGUAACGGCUCACCAAACCUCCGAUGGAUAGGGGUUCUGAGAGGAAGGUCCCCCACAUUGGAACUGAGACACGGUCCAAACUCCUACGGGAGGCAGCAGUGAGGAAUAUUGGUCAAUGGGCGCAGGCCUGAACCAGCCAAGUAGCGUGAAGGAUGACUGCCCUAUGGAUUGUAAACUUCUUUUAUACGGGAAUAAACGAAUCCACGCGUGGAUUUUUGCAUGUACCGUAUGAAUAAGGAUCGGCUAACUCCGUGCCAGCAGCCGCGGUAAUACGGAGGAUCCGAGCGUUAUCCGGAUUUAUUGGGUUUAAAGGGAGCGUAGAUGGGUUGUUAAGUCAGUUGUGAAAGUUUGCGGCUCAACCGUAAAAUUGCAAUUGAUACUGGCAGUCUUGAGUACAGUUGAGGUAGGCGGAAUUCGUGGUGUAGCGGUGAAAUGCUUAGAUAUCACGAAGAACUCCGAUUG
rnacentral:rRNA from 1 species